AUUGAACGCUGGCGGAAUGCUUUACACAUGCAAGUCGAACGGUAGAGGGGCAACCCCUCGAGAGUGGCGAACGGGUGAGUAAUAUAUCGGAACGUGCCCAGUCGUGGGGGAUAACGUAGCGAAAGUUACGCUAAUACCGCAUACGAUCUAAGGAUGAAAGCGGGGGAUCGCAAGACCUCGCGCGAUUGGAGCGGCCGAUAUCAGAUUAGGUAGUUGGUGGGGUAAAGGCUCACCAAGCCAACGAUCUGUAGCUGGUCUGAGAGGACGACCAGCCACACUGGAACGGAGACACGGUCCAGACUCCUACGGGAGGCAGCAGUGGGGAAUUUUGGACAAUGGACGCAAGUCUGAUCCAGCCAUUCCGCGUGCAGGAUGAAGGCCCUCGGGUUGUAAACUGCUUUUGUACGGAACGAAAAGGUCUCUCUUAAUACGGGGGGCUCAUGACGGUACCGUAAGAAUAAGCACCGGCUAACUACGUGCCAGCAGCCGCCGCAG
rnacentral:rRNA from 1 species